rnacentral:tRNA from 1 species
GAGAGCAUAGCUCAGUGGUAGAGUGUGUGCUUAGCAUGCACAAGGUCCUGGGUUCAAUCCCCAGCACCUCCA